rnacentral:rRNA from 1 species
UACCAGACUCCUACGGGAGGCAGCAGUGAGGAAUAUUGGUCAAUGGGCGGAAGCCUGAACCAGCCAAGUCGCGUGAGGGACUAAGGCCCUGCGGGUCGUAAACCUCUUUUGCCGGGGAGCAGUGGUCCGGACGCGUCCGGACCGGGAGAGUACCCGGAGAAAAAGCAUCGGCUAACUCCGUGCCAGCAGCCGCGGUAAUACGGAGGAUGCGAGCGUUAUCCGGAUUUAUUGGGUUUAAAGGGUGCGCAGGCGGAGGUGCAAGUCAGUGGUCAAAUUGCGGGGCUCAACCCCGUACUGCCGUUGAAACUGCAUCCCUUGAGUGCGCGAGAAGUAUGCGGAAUGCGUGGUGUAGCGGUGAAAUGCAUAGAUAUCACGCAGAACUCCGAUUGCGAAGGCAGCAUACCGGCGCGCAACUGACGCUCAUGCACGAAAGCGUGGGUAUCGAACAGGAUUAGAUACCCUUGUAUG